UAGAAUCGAUUGUUUGACUGAUGUCAAUUGGACUGGGGUCUACGUAUUGGCUUAAUAAGUUUUGAGGUGAGCUGAUACAACCCUUUACUAAAGUGAUUUAACUCACAAAAGUACGCAUAGAAGGUGUUUGAUGAAUUGCUUAAAAGAGUUUAUCUUUAUUUAAUUAGAGCGAGUAAGUACCCAUUAAUUUAGAAUGGUUCUAGCAAAGGUUUAGAGGAUCUAUAUGACAUAUGUGCUAAAAGUUUUCAGAUUUUUGUUUUAUUUUUAUAUGCUAAUUUCAUAUUGAAACUAUAUGAAAAAGAAAGAAUUUUUAGAACUAUCCUUAUAUGUUUAUUUCAUUCUUAUGUCAUUCUUUGCAUUUAAGGACACCAUUAUGAGUAUGUACAUAAUGUUCUAUAUAGAAAAGAUUUAGAGUUGAAAAGUCACAAGAAGAAGUUUUAGAAAGAAAAGAUUUUUUUGGGAGUCUGAGAAGGGGUCAUCGUACAGGCCGAGGGUCCUGACUAAGGCGUUGACUUCAUGAAACUACUUGUGCCAAAAUAAGGAGCACACGAGCCGAGGGUCUCGUUGCUGAGAAUUUACUUACCCAUGCUAAGGUAUGAUACAUGAGCGCACGGUGACUGAGACAAAAUUAAGUCAGGAUAGUUGGAACUCCCAAAGUAUAAAGUGAAG
rnacentral:lncRNA from 1 species